UACGGAGGGUGCAAGCGUUAUCCGGAUUCACUGGGUUUAAAGGGUGCGUAGGAGGGUAGGUAAGUCAGUGGUGAAAUCUCCGAGCUUAACUUGGAAACUGCCAUUGAUACUAUAGGUCUUGAAUACUGUGGAGGUCAGCGGAAUAUGUCAUGUAGCGGUGAAAUGCUUAGAUAUGACAUAGAACACCAAUUGCGAAGGCAGCUGGCUACACAAAUAUUGACACUGAGGCACGAAAGCGUGGGGAUCAAACAGG
rnacentral:rRNA from 1 species